UGCGUAGGCGGAAUAUUAAGUCAGUGGUGAAAUCCUGCGGCUCAACCGUAGAACUGCCAUUGAUACUGAUAUUCUUGAAUGUAGUUGAGGUAGGCGGAAUGUGUAAUGUAGCGGUGAAAUGCUUAGAUAUUACAUAGAACACCGAUUGCGAAGGCAGCUUACUAAACUAUGAUUGACGCUGAGGCACGAAAGCGUGGGGAGCGAACAGGAUUAGAUACCCUGGUAGUCC
rnacentral:rRNA from 1 species